UGUAGAUCAAAGAAAUGUUCAUCAGAGAUGAAUAUGAUGCUUCAACUUUGAUUUUUGAUCAUCUAUAAAGAUCAAAGAAACAUACAUGGGAAAUGAAUAUGAUGCUUCGACUUUGAUUUUUGAUCAUCUAUAAAGAUCAAAGAAACAUACAUGGGAAAUGAAUAUGAUGCUUCGACUUUGAUUUUUGAUCAUCUAUAAAGAUUCAGUAUAUGUUAUACAUCAGAGAGAAGCAUGAUGCUUGAUUUUGACUGUCUAUUUGAAAGGCACCAAUACUUUAUAUUUCCAUUACGGCACUCUUCAAAUUAGAGGGGCGUUUAGUAGGGUCUCCUGGGACAAAAUUUGGCUGUGAUGGCGUCUAACUCUGUAAAUUAUCGGAGUUUACAGUGCACCGAUCUGAAGAAUAUAUUGAAAUCGAAAGGUUUUCCGUCUUCUAAUAGAAAUAAGCAAGACUUGGUUGAUUUAUGCGAGGGAGCAGAGGCGUUUAAUUUGCCACAUAUCGGUCAUUUUGAUGGUGAUAUACAGGCCUCCAUUAGCAGCAGACGAACGGUUCGUGGAAAAAAUAUCCACACCCAUAUCAUGAUGGUAGCAUCGCUUGGACACCGAAUCUUGCCAUUAUUCCCUCUAUAGAUGCCUUUGACGUGUCAUCUUUUCUUCAAAACUACUGUGGGUGGUCUGAAGAACGCUUACGGAACAGGAAAUCCGACAGUGGAUAUAAGCUUCAUUGCUCUGGUCACAUUUAUGAUGUCGUCAUGGCUCUGUUAGGUGAUGAUAUGUGUUUUAUCAAGGGAAAGUGUGUUCCUGAAACACGGCAGUCCAGUGAUCCCUAUAUCCCAUGGAUUCUGGUUGAAAAGUCAGGACACAUAUUUUCAGCAGAAUGCACAUGUGUUGCAUAAGUUUCAAUUUCUUCUCACUUUUGAAAUGUUAUUUUCUUGAUUGUGCUAAAAGUUUGAUUAAAUUUUAAGAGACUUCU